rnacentral:rRNA from 1 species
GACGAACGCUGGCGGCGUGCCUAAUACAUGCAAGUCGAGCGGACUGAUUAAGAGCUUGCUCUUAUGACGUUAGCGGUGGACGGGUGAGUAACACGUGGGCAACCUGCCCUGUAGAUCGGGAUAACACCGAGAAAUCGGUGCUAAUACCGGGUAAUAUCUGAGAUCACAUGAUCUUAGGUUAAAAGAUGGCUCCGGCUAUCACUACAGGAUGGGCCCGCGGCGCAUUAGCUAGUUGGUAAGGUAAUGGCUUACCAAGGCGACGAUGCGUAGCCGACCUGAGAGGGUGAUCGGCCACACUGGGACUGAGACACGGCCCAGACUCCUACGGGAGGCAGCAGUAGGGAAUCUUCCGCAAUGGACGAAAGUCUGACGGAGCAACGCCGCGUGAGUGAUGAAGGGUUUCGGCUCGUAAAGCUCUGUUGUUAGGGAAGAAACAGUACCGAACGAACUAGGUCGGUACCUUGACGGUACCUAACCAGAAAGCCACGGCUAACUACGUG